AGAACGUCGUGAGACAGUUCGGUCUCUAUCUGUAGUGGGCGCAAGAAAUUUGAGUGAAUCUGACUUUAGUACGAGAGGACCGAGUUGGACUGACCGCUGGUCUACCAGUUGUUCCGCCAGGAGCAUUGCUGGGUAGCUACGUCGGGAAGGGAUAAGCGCUGAAAGCAUAUAAGCGCGAAACCCAUCACAAGAUGAGAUUUCUUUAAAGGGUCGUGGGAGACUACCACGUUGAUAGGUCAUAGGUGUAAAGGCAGUAAUGUCAUAGC
rnacentral:rRNA from 1 species